GGAUAACCUACCCUUAGGACCGGGAUAACCCUGGGAAACUGGGGAUAAUACUGGAUAGGCAAUUUUUCCUGCAAUGGUUCUUUGUUUAAAUGUUUUUUCGCCUAAGGAUGGGUCUGCGGCCGAUUAGGUAGUUGGUUAGGUAAUGGCUUACCAAGCCGUUGAUCGGUACGGGUUGUGAGAGCAAGAGCCCGGAGAUGGAACCUGAGACAAGGUUCCAGGCCCUACGGGGUGCAGCAGGCGCGAAACCUCCGCAAUGUGAGAAAUCGCGACGGGGGGAUCCCAAGUGCCAUUCUUAACGGGAUGGCUUUUCAUUAGUGUAAAGAGCUUUUGGAAUAAGAGCUGGGCAAGACCGGUGCCAGCCGCCGCGGUAACACCGGCAGCUCUAGUGGUAGCAAUUUUUAUUGGGCCUAAAGCGUCCGUAGCCGGUUUAAUAAGUCUCUGGUGAAAUCCUGCAGCUUAACUGUGGGAAUUGCUGGAGAUACUAUUAGACUUGAGAUCGGGAGAGGUUAGAGGUACUCCCAGGGUAGAGGUGAAAUUCUGUAAUCCUGGGAGGACCGCCUGUUGCGAAGGCGUCUAACUGGAACGAUUCUGACGGUGAGGGACGAAAGUUAGGGGCGCGAACCGGAUUAGAUACCCGGGUAGUCCUAACUGUAAACGAUGCGGACUUGGUGUUGGGGUGGCUUUGAGCUGCUCCAGUGCCGAAGGGAAGCUGUUAAGUCCGCCGCCUGGGAAG
rnacentral:rRNA from 1 species